rnacentral:misc_RNA from 1 species
UUGAAUUCCAACUGGGUGAGAUUGCUGCUGGCUCUCGGGCAUGUGCACAUCUCAUUCAUUUACCUCUCACCUCUGUGCACUUUUCACAGGACAACAGGUGGUUGUGGGCUUUAUUGCCCAUAGCUGCAUGUUGCUUCGUGUGCUUUACAAACUCAUAAUCAAGUUUAGAAUGUUCAUUGUGUAUCCACACAUUUAAAUA